rnacentral:rRNA from 1 species
AACGAACGCUGGCGGCAUGCCUAACACAUGCAAGUCGAACGAGGCCUUCGGGUCUAGUGGCGCACGGGUGCGUAACGCGUGGGAACCUGCCCUUAGGUUCGGAAUAACUCCCCGAAAGGGGUGCUAAUACCGGAUAAUGUCUUCGGACCAAAGAUUUAUCGCCUUUGGAUGGGCCCGCGUUGGAUUAGCUAGUUGGUAGGGUAAAAGCCUACCAAGGCGACGAUCCAUAGCUGGUCUGAGAGGAUGAUCAGCCACACUGGGACUGAGACACGGCCCAGACUCCUACGGGAGGCAGCAGUGGGGAAUAUUGGACAAUGGGCGAAAGCCUGAUCCAGCAAUGCCGCGUGAGUGAUGAAGGCCUUAGGGUUGUAAAGCUCUUUUACCCGGGAUGAUAAUGACAGUACCGGGAGAAUAAGCCCCGGCUAACUCCGUG